GUAGGUGGCAAGCGUUGUCCGGAAUUAUUGGGCGUAAAGCGCGCGCAGGUGGGUUCUUUAAGUCUGAUGUGAAAGACCCCCGGGCUCAACCGGGGAGGGUCAUUGGAAACUGGGGAACUUGAGUGCAGGAGAGGAAAGUGGAAUUCCACGUGUAGCGGUGAAAUGCGUAGAUAUGUGGAGGAACACCAGUGGCGAAGGCGACUUUCUGGCCUGUAACUGACACUGAGGCGCGAAAGCGUGGGGAGCAAACAGGAUUAGAUACCCUGGUAGUCCACGCCGUAAACGAUGAGUGCUAAGUGUUGGGGGGUUUCCGCCCCUCAGUGCUGCAGCUAACGCAUUAAGCACUCCGCCUGGGGAGUACGGUCGCAAGACUG
rnacentral:rRNA from 1 species